CCCCAAAACACCACAUCAUCUUUUCUUCCUCUGGCCCUUUCUAUUCUCUCUGUCAACACGCUAAAGAAACGUCCAUCGUUGCCGACGAACACGACGAGGAAUCAAAGCGACACCGUUUUCUUCUCCGGCUAGACCAUUAUUAUACCAUAUGACGCCAGCGGUGGCUAGGGUUUCACCAGAAAACACCACGGGUCGCUGUUGUGCCACCGAAAGUUGCUCUAAACCCCAAUUGCAUUCUAUUCACCACCGCUAACCUGAUUUGGUCUUUUUUGUUGUAUAGUUUACCAAUACUCAAAUCUGAAUGCACUUACAGGAGGACAUCGUUACAGAGUAGGCGGCUGAGCCGAAAGUUAGGGUUCCGACGCGGUGGUUCUUGGGCGGCGACAUCGCCGCGGUGGUGAAGAUAACAGGCUACACAACCGUAGCAUUCAAGGGUAGACCAGCUUCACCCGCCUUUCGCAAAUUUUAUUAACGUACUUUCGAACCUCAGAUGACGAAGAAAAGUUGCCCUUAUUCUUGGAGGAAGCGAGGCUGAUUAUAGUGGUCUGGAGACCUAGCCGCCACCUCCGGCGACGGCGGAUUGGAUUCUGAUGAUGAUUCCGGUGACGACAGAAGGCUCCUCCGGCGAUGCUUGAUUUCUGACUCGGCAACUACGAGCCGGUUCGAGGGAUUUGUGACUGAUGAUCAAUUUGUCGAAGCUACUGUAUGGAGCAAAUCGCUUCUUCCUUCAACAGGUGUGCUUCAACUAGGGUUCACAUCAGGAACAUACAUUAAUCCAACUCUAUUGCUACCAAGUACAAAAUGUCCAUUUGGUGAUCAUAUGCAGGACAAGAGGAGAAGCCGCUCCACUAGACAUUCAUGAUCAAGAAGAAGCUCGCGAAGGAGAACAAGCCCAUUGCUCUCGCUAGAUUCGUAUGUCAACCGACAAUACCAUCCGGUACGGUACAAAGCGCAGAACCAGGCUUGGGUUCUAAGGUGUUCUCUAUGAUGUCUUGAUUUUUGCGAAAGGCUAUGAAUUUGAUGAUGAAUCUGUUCAAUCACAUGUUUUCCAUGUACCUUAAAUUAUGGUAGGCUAUUUAAUGUUUUUAUUU